rnacentral:lncRNA from 1 species
GGGAACUGUGUACUUACAGCCUCUACUAUAAGCAAGUGAAUGUGGCCGGUGCGUGGCGAACGGUUCAUCAAGCCAUUUUUCGCCUCAACUCCCUAAAUAGGAAGAGGGGUAGUUUACAAAUUGGGGUAAUCAAUUCGCACCUGACUGUGAUAGCCCUCUCGAUACCUUAUUGGAGCUUUGUAACUAGUGGCCGAUUUCCCGUCGCGUCAGCCUUUUCCCAGUGCGCGGAGCCCCAACGAGGAAGGUGUUAGUGCUUUAUCAUUGGGUCAAUAAUGCUAAUCCUGGGUAAUCAAUUCGCACCUAACUGUGAUAGCCCUCUCGAUACCUUAUUGGAGCUUUGUAACUAGUG